CCUACACACCUUGUUACGGGUGCCCUUCACAGGGUGAAACGGGAAACCGGUGCGUCACGUGCCUUACUCAAGGCCUUGACCAGUCCGGUGCUGCCCCCGCAACGGUAAGCGAGCGAAGAAUCAGAUCCACUGCGCCGGUCAUCCGGCAUGGGAAGGCGAUUCUUGCAGGCCAGGCGCAAGCCCCGCCCCUCGCGAGCCCGGAGACCGGCCCGCAAUAGACACAUAAC
rnacentral:ncRNA from 2 species